AGAACGAACGCUGGCGGCAGGCCUAAUACAUGCAAGUCGAACGCACUCUUCGGAGUGAGUGGCAGACGGGUGAGUAACGCGUGGGAACCUUCCCAAUGGUACGGAAUAACUCCGGGAAACCGGUGCUAAUACCGUAUAAGCCCCUCGGGGGAAAGAUUUAUCGCCAUUGGAUGGGCCCGCGUCGGAUUAGCUAGUUGGUAAGGUAAUGGCUUACCAAGGCUACGAUCCGUAGCUGGUCUGAGAGGAUGAUCAGCCACACUGGGACUGAGACACGGCCCAGACUCCUACGGGAGGCAGCAGUAGGGAAUCUUGGACAAUGGGCGAAAGCCUGAUCCAGCCAUGCCGCGUGAGUGAAGAAGGCCUUAGGGUUGUAAAGCUCUUUUGGCGGGGACGAUAAUGACGGUACCCGCAGAAUAAGCCCGGCUAACUUCGCGCCAGCAGCCGC
rnacentral:rRNA from 1 species